rnacentral:lncRNA from 1 species
AAGCCUGCAGAAGCGCUACCCGGCCAACGUGGCAGCCCCCUUCCACCCGCAGCCUUACGGGAAAGUGGUGAGGGGGCAGCCCCAGCCCCAGCUGCGGGGGCGUAGGGGGCGGCCAGGGGAGAGUCCAGUCAGGACCCUUUGGCUGUGAGGGGCUUUAUUUAUAGAUCAAACAUCACACCUGCAUCCUGCAUUUUACAUCUUCUCUCACCUUCUCACAACUCCUCAGGGUUAGUACAAUUACCCCAUUUUACAGAUGAGCAGAUAGACUCAGAGGAGUUAAGUGACGUGGCCAAGGCCACGCAGCCUUUGCCCACGGCUGGGUCAUGGCUCCUUGGUUCUUUCUCAGUCUUUGAUUUCUAUUUGUGGUGUGUUUUUGUUCUGGGCCUGUGAGCGCACAGUGGCUGGGGGAGGGCAGGAGGGGGCGUGCUGUUUCUGGCUCCUUCAUCUCAGCACAUCCAAGCUGGUGGGAAGAAAGCGGAGCAGGGCCAGCUGCUGAGGACCCAUCCCUUAGGUUCUGGUCCUGGAAUGUGUGGACCAAGUGCCCUGGUCCCUUUGCUAGAGAAAAGGAGUGGGAGUCAGCCAACUGACGGCAGCAGAGAGUGGGGACCAACCCCCAGUACAAAAUCAGGCUUAGUUUCCUGCUUGAGAGGCAUCAUCAGAAGAAGACCCCCAGGAGAAGAGGCGGGACUGACUGAGGUGGCCUGCUUGGAGUGAGGCCUUGACCCACGGGGGAGUCGUCCUGUGCUUCAGCAUUCUCCGCCACCCACAUCUACUUCCUGACUACCAGCUCUGUACCGGCUACCUCUGGGCACCUCCCCCCCAACACUCCACAGAGCUCUCAAACUGAGCUCCUCAGGCUCCCCAAUCCCGGCCACCCGCUGCGGAAGGCUCUGCGGCCCACAGGGUCCAUGAGGUGGAAACCGCAGCAUCGUGCUGGGGCUUCAUUCACCCACGGUGCACCAUGGCGCCAUCCUCCCUCCACGACAGGGGCACCUUUCCCAGAAGCCGCUGAGGGCUGUCAGGCCACAGCAGAAGCUAGGACGUCUGCCUCAGGGGUUCCUCUGCUGCCCUCUCAGGGGUGGGUGGGCUCUGCCCCCCAGCUGUCCUGCUUCCUCUCCCAGUGGGCCACUGGGCUGCAGAGCAGCAAACAAGAGAGGCUCUCGGCCUUCGCCAUCAAAGGCGUCCCCUACUCUCUCUGCCCUCUCUGCAUAGCCGUCCCGGCCAGCACUGAGCAUCCCCCAGGGGCCAGCAGAGAAGGU